ACAUACGACCAUAGCUAUCAGACAACUCGGGAUCCCGUCCGCUCUCCGUUCGAUAAACUGAUAAGUGCUGAAUUAGUAGUUGGGUCGGUGACGACCAGCGAAUCCUCGGUGUUGUAUGUU
rfam:Fusarium fujikuroi IMI 58289 draft genome, chromosome FFTJ_chr09